CCUAGGCUCAAGUGAUUCCGCCCACCUCUGCCUCCCAAAGUGCUGGGAUUACGGGCAUGAGCCAGCGCAUCUGGCCACCUUAUUUUCUAUUACUGGCUCAAUGUAAUGGCUCCAUCUCAGGAACAGCCAAUGAAAGAGAUGCACAGGACAAGAGAUGGCAUCUUGCUCUGUUGCUUAGGCUACAGUACAGUGACAUGAUCAUGGUUCACUGUAGCCUCAAA
rnacentral:lncRNA from 1 species